rnacentral:rRNA from 1 species
ACGUUAUACUUGGAUAACUGUGGUAAUUCUAGAGCUAAUACACGCAAUCGAGCUCCGAACUUCUGUGACGAGCGCAUUUAUUAGAACAAAACCAAUCGGGCUUCUGCCCGUAGUUUGUUGACUCUGAAUAACUCUGUUGAUCGCAUGGUCUCUGUACCGGCGACAUAUCUUUCAAGUGUCUGCCCUAUCAACUUUCGACGGUAG